AUUGAACGCUGGCGGCAUGCUUUACACAUGCAAGUCGGACGGCAGCACAGAGAAGCUUGCUUCUUGGGUGGCGAGUGGCGAACGGGUGAGUAAUAUAUCGGAACGUACCGAGUAAUGGGGGAUAACUAAUCGAAAGAUUAGCUAAUACCGCAUAUUCUCUGAGGCGGAAAGCAGGGGACCUUCGGGCCUUGCGUUAUUCGAGCGGCCGAUAUCUGAUUAGCUAGUUGGUGGGGUAAAGGCCUACCAAGGCGACGAUCAGUAGCGGGUCUGAGAGGAUGAUCCGCCACACGGGGACGGAGACACGGCCCAGACUCCUACGGGAGGCAGCAGUGGGGUAUGUUGGACAAUGGGCGCAAGCCUGAUCCAGCCAGGCCGCGUGUCUGAAGAAGGCCUUCGGGUUGUAAAGGACUUUUGUCAGGGAAGAAAAGGCUGUUGCUAAUACCGACAGCUGAUGACGGUACCUGAAGAAUAAGCACCGGCUAACUACGUG
rnacentral:rRNA from 1 species